UUCUACACUAUACUAAUAACUACUAUACAAGAUAUUGCCUUAAAAAGACCCCCGUCAGGCCCGCCAGGCCAGGGACUGCCAGACCCGGCACACGAAGCCCGGGACCGUGAAGCCCAGCCCAUCAGGCCCGUUUAGGCCCGGGCCCGGGCCAGAAUACACACAUAUAAACUAAAAAUAAAUUUUAUACAACUAAGGCAAAAUACAUAAAAUACUACUUGAAUUUGUACCCAAAUCCCUCUUAUAUACUUGUUAAUUACGGGAAUAUUUUGACACAUCCGAACCUUUCAAUGUGUAUUUAUAACACAUCACUUUAAAUGUGUAUAUUACACACCAAUGAGAUGACGACACGUGUAUUAACUUAAGAAAAAUAUAGAAAAUAUUUAAAAAUACUCAUGUUCUUCUUCUUCCCAAGCACAGACUCUACCGUCGCCGGCCGUGAACCCCCAAUCAACCAUAAUCCCUCUCAUUAUUUGACAAAGACAUGCUUUACAUGCUUUAUUUUUCAUGUGCAUCAAAGCACGAAGAAGAAAAUUCAUCUCUCACCACCCAAUUAACUCUCCACCACCAUGAAAUUCUUACUCAGCCAAUGCUCUGCCACCCAUCCUUCAUAGUUGUCGCUCAACACCACCAUACUCCUCCGAAGAAAAUAUUUUCAAAUUGGCGCCUUUCGCCGCCAACUAUUCUACUAAGCACAAAAUUCCCUCACCAAAACUAUUUUUCAUUACCUAUCCAUGAAUCCACAUUCACUUUCUCCAUUCAAAUUUAUAUUUUCAUUCACAGUCCCUACUUAACAAUCAUCACAUUACUGCUAGAAUAAAGUUGAAGGAACCAACCCAUUGUCUCAAGCAGUUAAAGUAAACAACAAAAAAUGGUGAAGGUCUGACGAAUUUUGGGGCUGAGAUUUCUGAUUUUUUUAAGAUUUAUUAAGAGGGGUUGAGAAGGAAGAAUGUAGGAAAUAUAUGAGAAAAGGGAGAGGAUGAAAUGUUUUAUGGUGGAGCUUUGGAGAAAAAAGAAAUGAAUUUUCAUUUUUCCAUUGUUGCCGGAGAGUUGUUUGCUUGUGCUUGACAAAGAAGAUGAUAAUUAGCAUAUCCAAAAUUCAAAAGUCACU
rnacentral:lncRNA from 1 species